CGAGGAAUAUUGCACAAUGGGCGAAAGCCAGAUGCAGCAACGCCGCGUGAGGGACGAAGGCCUUCGGGUCGUAAACCUCUUUUCUGGGGGACGAGUAAGGACGGUACUCCAGGAAUAAGUCUCGGCUAACUACGUGCCAGCAGCCGCGGUAAAACGUAGGAGGCGAGCGUUAUCCGGAUUUACUGGGCGUAAAGCGUACGCAGGUGGCUUCGUUAGUCGGACAUGAAAGCUCCUGGCUUAACUGGGAGAGGUUGUUCGAUACUGCGGGGCUUGAGGUUGGGAGAGGGACGUGGAAUUCCCGGUGUAGUGGUGGAAUGCGUAGAUAUCGGGAGGAACACCAGUGGCGCAAGCGGCGUCCUGGACCACACCUGACGCUGAGGUACGAAAGCGUGGGUAGCAAACAG
rnacentral:rRNA from 1 species